GAGAGAACUCUCGUUAAGGAACUCGGCAAAAUGACCCCGUAACUUCGGGAGAAGGGGUGCUGACCGCAAGGUCAGCCGCAGUGAAUAGGCCCAAGCGACUGUUUAUCAAAAACACAGGUCUCUGCAAAAUCGAAAGAUGACGUAUAGGGGCUGACGCCUGCCCGGUGCUGGAAGGUUAAGAGGAGAGGUUAGCGCAAGCGAAGCUUUGAAUUGAAGCCCCAGUAAACGGCGGCCGUAACAAUAACGGUCCUAAGGUAGCGAAAUUCCUUGUCGGGUAAGUUCCGACCCGCACGAAAGGCGUAACGAUUUGGGCACUGUCUCAACGAGAGACUCGGUGAAAUUAUAGUACCAGUGAAGAUGCUGGUUACCCGCGACAGGACGGAAAGACCCCAUGGAGCUUUACUGCAGUUUGAUAUUGCGUGUUUGUAUCACAUGUACAGGAUAGGUAGGAGCCGAAGAUACCGGGACGCCAGUCUCGGAGGAGGCAACGGUGGGAUACUACCCUUGUGAUAUGACCACUCUAACCCGCUGCUCUUAGCGAGCAGGGAGACAGUGUCAGACGGGCAGUUUGACUGGGGCGGUCGCCUCCAAAAAUGUAACGGAGGCGCCCAAAGGUUCCCUCAGAAUGGUUGGAAAUCAUUCGUAGAGUGUAAAGGCAGAAGGGAGCUUGACUGCGAGACCUACAAGUCGAGCAGGGACGAAAGUCGGGCUUAGUGAUCCGGUGGUUCCGCAUGGAAGGGCCAUCGCUCAACGGAUAAAAGCUACCCUGGGGAUAACAGGCUUAUCUCCCCCAAGAGUUCACAUCGACGGGGAGGUUUGGCACCUCGAUGUCGGCUCAUCGCAUCCUGGGGCUGUAGUCGGUCCCAAGGGUUGGGCUGUUCGCCCAUUAAAGCGGUACGCGAGCUGGGUUCAGAACGUCGUGAGACAGUUCGGUCCCUAUCCGUCGCGGGCGUUGGAAAUUUGAGAGGAGCUGUCCUUAGUACGAGAGGACCGGGAUGGACACACCGCUGGUGUACCAGUUGUUCUGCCAAGAGCAUCGCUGGGUAGCUAUGUGUGGACGGGAUAAACGCUGAAAGCAUCUAAGCGUGAAGCCCCCCUCAAGAUGAGAUUUCCCAUCACUUUAAGUGAGUAAGACCCCUGAGAGAUGAUCAGGUAGAUAGGUUGGGAGUGGAAGUACAGCGAUGUAUGGAGCGGACCAAUACUAAUCGGUCGAGGACUUAACC
rnacentral:rRNA from 1 species